UAAGGUGGUGAAGUUGUUGAUGCCCUGCUUCCAGGAAAAGCUUCUAAACUUAUGAUUAUAUGAACCGUACCCCAAACCGACACAGGUGGUCAGGUAGAGAAUACUAAGGCGCUUGAGAGAACUCGGGAGAAGGAACUCGGCAAAUUGGUACCGUAACUUCGGGAUAAGGUACGCCCUGGU
rnacentral:rRNA from 1 species